rnacentral:rRNA from 1 species
GACGAACGCUGGCGGCGUGCUUAACACAUGCAAGUCGAGCGGAAAGGCCACUUCGGUGGUACUCGAGCGGCGAACGGGUGAGUAACACGUGAGUAAUCUGCCCCUGGCUUUGGGAUAGCCACCGGAAACGGUGAUUAAUACCGGAUAUGACCACUUGACGCAUGUUUGGUGGUGGAAAGUUUUUCGGCCAGGGAUGUGCUCGCGGCCUAUCAGCUUGAUGGUGAGGUAAUGGCUCACCAUGGCUUCGACGGGUAGCCGGCCUGAGAGGGUGACCGGGCACACUGGGACUGAGACACGGCCCAGGAUCCGACGGGAGGCAGCAGUGGGGAAUAUUGGACAAUGGGCGGAAGCCUGAUCCAGCAACGCCGCGUGAGGGAUGACGGCCUUCGGGUUGUAAACCUCUUUCAGUACCGACGAAGCGCAAGUGAUGGUAGGUACAGAAGAAGCACCGGCCAACUACGUGCCAGCAGCCGCCGUGAGAC